rnacentral:SRP_RNA from 1 species
GCCAGGCGCGGUGGCUCACGCCUGUAAUCCCAGCACUUUGGGAGGCUGAGGCGGGUGGAUCACCUGAGGUCGGGAGUUCGAGACCAGCCUGACCAACAUGGAGAAACCCCGUCUCUA